rnacentral:tRNA from 1 species
UCCGAUAUGGUGUAGUGGCCAACAUGAUGCCCUCUCAAGCAAUUGCGAGGAAAGGCAUAGCCUCGAGUUCGAUUCUCGGUUUCGGAA